GGAGACGUGGCUGAGUGGUCGAAAGCGCUCCCCUGCUAAGGGAGUAACGGGGCAACCUGUUCGAGGGUUCGAAUCCCUUCGUCUCCGCCA
rnacentral:tRNA from 1 species